UACAGAGGGUGCAAGCGUUGUUCGGAAUUACUGGGCGUAAAGGGCGCGUAGGCGGCCGCCUAAGUCAGACGUGAAAUCCCUCGGCUCAACCGGGGAACUGCGUCUGAUACUGGGUGGCUUGAAUCCGGGAGAGGGAUGCGGAAUUCCAGGUGUAGCGGUGAAAUGCGUAGAUAUCUGGAGGAACACCGGUGGCGAAGGCGGCAUCCUGGACCGGUAUUGACGCUGAGGCGCGAAAGCCAGGGGAGCAAACAGG
rnacentral:rRNA from 1 species